rfam:Macrostomum lignano uti_cns_0009879, whole genome shotgun sequence.
AGAGUUGUAGCCUAGUGGUUAGAGCGUCAGACUCAUGACUUGAAGGUUGGGGGUUCGAUUCCCGUUCUUACUG